CCUGCGGCCUGCCCUUUCACCAGCGCUGACACAUCCCAGUUGUCAGUUACUGUCCUGUGGCCAAGCCCAUGCUGUCUACUUACACAAAGCCACUGGGCAGGGCAAAGUUCACAGCUCAGUCAGCCUCAGAGACAGAGAAAGAAGCAAGGGGCUGAGAGGAGAGGCCGCCCAGGUGCAGGGAGAAGGAAAGGCUCCAGCUGGCUCAUGGAUUCAAACCCAGGAUCUUCUUGCUGUGAGGCGACGGUGCAAACCAGCAGAGCACCAUGCCACCUGCACAAAGAGGUCAAAUUCAAGUGUGGCAUGAGAACUCAUAGACGUGACAGCUGAUCUCACUGAAACAAAGUCUCUCUUGUUUUUCUGUUGUUUUUCACUUUGAACAGUGUCUUCAGCGUGCGAGGCAGGCUGUGUACACAGCAGCUGAUCCACUGUGCACUCGUUUGGUCUUAUAGAAUAUCACAGAACUCCAAAUAUAUUCUGGUUUUUUUCUGCUUGCAUUCUGUUACACACCAAAGCUCAGUGUGUACAUGCUAACAAAUGUCUCGUGUAAGUCUUCUCCAACACUGGAGAGCACAUUGUUUUUGAUCCAGGAUUGUUUACAUGGAUUUCUACCAGCUAGCUGCCUUCAUGCAUGCUGCAUCUAGCUGGCUUUUUUUUUCUUUCUUUUUUUUGCUUUUCAUUGGAAGAGUGACAACGUGUCCCCUGCAUCUACUCACAUGCAUGUAUUCUUGUCCACAAGAAGUAUUACCAGAGGAAUUUCACACUGCAUUAAGAUAUUGUAUCAAAUCCUGGACAGCACUACUUCUGCAUGUAAGUCCCUCAAUAAAGCCACAGCAUAUAAUUUCCCAUCACUAUCAUAUACACUGGAUGGAGGUAAUAUUGCCCUAAAACAGAAUAAUCUCUUCAGGAAUCAGGAGAUGUUUCAUCAGGUCUAAGAAACUUAUUUUCUUAUUGAUUCACAGCGAGUUUUCCUUCUCCAGGGAGCAUUUUGGGAAGUGUAGCUAAAUCCUUCCAGCCAAAUAGACCCCAAAGAAUAAAA